AGGCCCGUAGUUAAAUGGCAUAAUAGAGGUCUCCAAAACCUUUGUUGGGGGUUCGAUUCCCUCCGGGCCUG
rnacentral:tRNA from 1 species